rnacentral:lncRNA from 1 species
CUAGGAGAACCAAAACUGUUCUAGACAGACCUCCGACUUUAUAGCCCUUUGGCAGUCAACUUCAGCUUGGGGUAGAGCAGACAAAUCCGCAGUCCUCAGCAGUGAGAUGGACGUGCCACCCCACCCACAGGUCCUGGUUGUCCCUUUUUAAUUAACUGCACCCCUGCCUUAGAGGGAAGAGUGACCCUGAAAAGG